rnacentral:rRNA from 1 species
CAGUCGCCGCGGGAAUACGAAGGGGGCUAGCGUUGUUCGGAAUUACUGGGCGUAAAGGGCGCGUAGGCGGCCAUUCAAGUUAGAUGUGAAAGCCCUGGGCUCAACCUAGGAAUUGCAUUUGAUACUGUUUGGCUUGAGUUCGGGAGAGGUGAGUGGAAUUCCCAGUGUAGAGGUGAAAUUCGUAGAUAUUGGGAAGAACACCAGUGGCGAAGGCGGCUCACUGGACCGACACUGACGCUGAGGCGCGAAAGCGUGGGGAGCAAACAGGAUUAGAUACCCCUGUAGUCCUGUCUCUUAUACA